UACGGAGGCUGCAAGCGUUAUCCGGAAUGAUUGGGCGUAAAGCGUCCGCAGGUGGCAAUGUAAGUCUGCUGUUAAAGAGUCUAGCUCAACUAGAUAAGAGCAGUGGAAACUACAUAGCUAGAGUACGUUCGGGGCAGAGGGAAUUCCUGGUGUAGCGGUGAAAUGCGUAGAGAUCAGGAAGAACACCGGUGGCGAAAGCGUUCUGCUAGACCUGUACUGACACUGAGGGACGAAAGCUAGGGGAGCGAAUGGG
rnacentral:rRNA from 1 species